rnacentral:rRNA from 1 species
CUUAACUCCGGGAUUGCCUUUGAAACUAGUGGCCUUGAGUAUAGUCGAGGACGGCGGAAUGAGUUAUGUAGCGGUGAAAUGCAUAGAUAUAACUCAGAACACCGAUUGCGGAGGCAGCUGUCUAGGCUAAGACUGACGCUGAGGCACGAAAGCGUGGGGAGCGAACAGGAUUAGAUACCCUGGUAGUCCACGCUGUAAACUAUGAUCACUCGCUGUUGGCGAUAUACUGUCAGCGGCUGAGCGAAAGCAUUAAGUGAUCCACCUGGGGAGUACGUCGGCAACGAUGAAACUCAAAGGAAUUGACGGGGGCCCGCACAAGCGGAGGAACAUGUGGUUUAAUUCGAUGAUACGCGAGGAACCUUACCUGGGCUUAAAUGUAGGGUGCAUUUCCGCGAAAGCGGGAUUUCCUACGGGACCC